rnacentral:rRNA from 1 species
UUUAAUUCGAAGCAACGCGCAGAACCUUACCAUCCCUUGACAUGUCGUGCCAUCCGGAGAGAUCCGGGGUUCCCUUCGGGGACGCGAACACAGGUGCUGCAUGGCUGUCGUCAGCUCGUGUCGUGAGAUGUUGGGUUAAGUCCCGCAACGAGCGCAACCCACGUCCUUAGUUGCCAUCAUUCAGUUGGGCACUCUAGGGAGACUGCCGGUGAUAAGCCGCGAGGAAGGUGUGGAUGACGUCAAGUCCUCAUGGCCCUUACGGGAUGGGCUACACACGUGCUACAAUGGCGGUGACAGUGGGACGCGAAACCGCGAGGUUGAGCAAAUCCCCAAAAACCGUCUCAGUUCAGAUUGCACUCUGCAACUCGAGUGCAUGAAGGCGGAAUCGCUAGUAAUCGUGGAUCAGCAUGCCA